rnacentral:rRNA from 1 species
GCUGGCGGCAGGCUUAACACAUGCAAGUCGAACGGUAGCAGAAGGAAGCUUGCUUUCUUGCUGACGAGUGGCGGACGGGUGAGUAAUGCUUGGGAAUCUGGCUUAUGGAGGGGGAUAACUACUGGAAACGGUAGCUAAUACCGCGUAAUAUCGAGAGAUUAAAGGGUGGGACUUUCGGGCCACCUGCCAUAAGAUGAGCCCAAGUGGGAUUAGGUAGUUGGUGGGGUAAAGGCCUACCAAGCCUGCGAUCUCUAGCUGGUCUGAGAGGAUGGCCAGCCACACUGGAACUGAGACACGGUCCAGACUCCUACGGGAGGCAGCAGUGGGGAAUAUUGCACAAUGGGGGGAACCCUGAUGCAGCCAUGCCGCGUGAAUGAAGAAGGCCUUCGGGUUGUAAAGUUCUUUCGGUGAUGAGGAAGGCAGGUAUUUUAAUAGAAUACUUGAUUGACGUUAGUCACAGAAGAAGCACCGGCUAACUCCGUGCCAGCAGCCGCGGUAAUACGGAGGGUGCGAGCGUUAAUCGGAAUAACUGGGCGUAAAGGGCACGCAGGCGGAUUGUUAAGUGAGAUGUGAAAGCCCCGAGCUUAACUUGGGAAUUGCAUUUCAGACUGGCAGUCUAGAGUAUUUUAGGGAGGGGUAGAAUUCCACGUGUAGCGGUGAAAUGCGUAGAGAUGUGGAGGAAUACCGAAGGCGAAGGCAGCCCCUUGGGAAUAUACUGACGCUCAUGUGCGAAAGCGUGGGAGCA